GAUGAACGCUGGCGGCGUGCCUAAUACAUGCAAGUUGAGCGAACAGAUGAGGAGCUUGCUCCUCUGACGUUAGCGGCGGACGGGUGAGUAACACGUGGAUAACCUACCUAUAAGACUGGGAUAACUUCGGGAAACCGGAGCUAAUACCGGAUAAUAUAUUGAACCGCAUGGUUCAAUAGUGAAAGACGGUUUUGCUGUCACUUAUAGAUGGAUCCGCGCCGCAUUAGCUAGUUGGUAAGGUAACGGCUUACCAAGGGAACGAUGCGUAGCCGACCUGAGAGGGUGAUCGGCCACACUGGAACUGAGACACGGUCCAGACUCCUACGGGAGGCAGCAGUAGGGAAUCUUCCGCAAUGGGCGGAAGCCUGACGGAGCAACGCCGCGUGAGUGAUGAAGGUCUUCGGAUCGUAAAACUCUGUUAUUAGGGAAGAACAAAUGUGUAAGUAACUAUGCACGUCUUGACGGUACCUAAUCAGAAAGCCACGGCUAACUACGUG
rnacentral:rRNA from 1 species